GCCCUCGUGGCGAAACUGGUAGACGCGCAUGGUUUAGGACCAUGUCCCGCAAGGGGUAGGGGUUCAAAUCCUCUCGAGGGCACAA
rnacentral:tRNA from 3 species